rnacentral:lncRNA from 1 species
AUCCACUUUCCAUUGUGCUUGUUGGAGUCGGUGAUGGACCUUGGGAAGACAUGCAGAAAUUUGAUGACAAGAUCCCUGCACGUGAAUUUGAUAAUUUUCAGGUAUAUCAUUGGCAGCAUACAGCUAAGUUUGAAUUUCAAUGGAUUUAUAAUAGAGUUUAGAAUGUAUAUUCUACUUCUUGUUGCAGUUUGUUAAUUUUACCGCCAUUAUGUCAAAAAAUGCAACUCCAUCUGAGAAAGAAACAGCUUUUGCUCUUGCCGCUCUCAUGGAGAUACCUAUUCAAUACAAAGCUGCAGUAGAACUUGGUAUUAUGGGGUAGGGACACUAAACAUUUUAUGUUCUUGAUAAAAUUGCGUUUUGCAAAUCCUACGUUGAUACUUGAUUAGAUAAAAUAUAUGGCCCUUGAUGAAACUAGAUGAUUCUGAAGUUAUUCUGUCCUUAGAACAUUGCUUGUGACAAAUACUAAUACUGAAUAAAUAUCUAUUUUCAGUAUCCAAAGCUAUUAAAUGAUUAUAUCAUAUUAUUGAAUUGAUUUUUACCUGUUGCAUUGUAUAAAAGACGCACGACAGGGAGAGCAAAGAAAAUAGCUCCACGACCUCCUCCAGCUCCUUAUUCUCGCCGUGCCCUGCCAGAACGUCAACCAAGCCGUGGUUCAACC